AACGUAGGAGGCGAGCGUUAUCCGGAGUUACUGGGCGUAAAGGGCGCGUAGGUGGGGCUGCAAGUGAGGUGUGAAAUCUCUCGGCUAAACCGGGAGGGAGCGCCUGAGACUGCGGUUCUAGAGUGGGACAGAGGAGCGUGGAAUUCCGGGUGGAGCGGUGAAAUGUGUAGAGAUCCGGAGGAACACCAGAGGCGCAAGCGGCGCUCUGGGUCCCAACUGACACUGAGGCGCGAAAGCUUGGGGAGCGAACGGG
rnacentral:rRNA from 1 species